rnacentral:rRNA from 1 species
UUAGCUGAGAGGUGGUGCAUGGCCGUCGUCAGUUCGUACUGUGAAGCAUCCUGUUAAGUCAGGCAACGAGCGAGACCCACGUCCACAGUUGCCAGCAUACCCUCCGGGGUGAUGGGUACACUGUGGAGACCGCCGCUGCUAAAGCGGAGGAAGGAGUGGGCAACGGUAGGUCAGUAUGCCCCGAAUCUCCCGGGCUACACGCGGGCUACAAUGGUUGGUACAGUGGGCAUCUACCCCGAAAGGGGAAGGAAAUCUCUUAAAGCCAAUCGUAGUUCGGAUUGAGGGCUGCAACUCGCCCUCAUGAAGCUGGAAUCCGUAGUAAUCGCGUUUCAACAGAACGCGGUGAAUACGUCCCUGCUCCUU